UUUUUCGAAAAUGAUGCGGGGGGUCAUAUAGCUGACUUCUUGCGUCAAGGAGAAGGUAAGUAAAUUUGAUGUAAAUUUAAAAUUGAGCAUAUUAAUGUAAGUGUUUUUAGAUAUUAUUUAAUUAUAUUUAUUUUUACAGUUGUAAGACACGUAACCAGAUUUGAGCCGCUACCGCCUCGACGUGCGGCGCCUCUUGAGCGAAACUACGGGGCGAGACGACGACGCGCAGAAGAGGAGCUUCAAGGUGCCGUAGCAGCCCGUAAGUAACUCUACGUACAGUAAGCAUGAGACACACGUCGUCUCGUGGAGAAAAUUAAAUAUUCAAAGUUUUAUCAAAUAUUACAUAUAGAAAAUUUUAUAGGAAGACCGCGAAUUGAAAUCGCGGACUUAGUUGCGGAGGCACCAUCACCUCGAUACACCCCCGACGGUGAAUCAUCAGAUGACGACGACGAUACUCGAGGUAAUUUUGACAGAGUUCCAUCCUCAGCCGAUGAGGCUAUAUUUACUUCAGUGUAAGCAAACGAGACGGAGGACGAAGAAGAAAGAGAGGAAAGAGCGACGCAGGAGGAGGAAGAGGAGGAAACCGAAAAAGAAGCAUUAAGAGAAGAUGAGGAGGAGGAUACAGACGAAGAUGA